GCGGCCGCAGUGGAGGCUGGAGCCCGAACGGCGUCCGCGGUGGCACCCCGGGGAGUUUAAGAUGGCGGCGGGGGGUGCUGCGGGGCUGCGGGAGGAGCAGCGCUACGGGCUGGCGUGCGGGCGGCUGGGGCAGGACAACAUCACCGUGCUACAUGUGAAGCUCACCGAGACGGCGAUCCGGGCGCUGGAGACUUACCAGAGCCAAAAGCUUGUUUGGUCCCGAGAAGGGACCGGGUGGAGGAGAGAGAAGUGCGGAGGGGGCGCGCGCAGCUACCAGUGAAGAAGCGACGGUCGGCAUCCUUGAGCGGUCCGAGUUUUCUAGGAAACGCCGAGGGAUGGCG
rnacentral:lncRNA from 1 species